UCCCCGUUACCGAGGCAGUCUCACAAGAUACGUACAACUUGCGACGAGGGUUGCGCUCGUUAAGGGACUUAACCCUACAUCUCACGACACGAGCUGACGACAGCCAUGCAUCACCUGUCACCGGGUUCCUUGCGGCACAGCUGCCUUUCGGCAACCUUCCCGGGAUGUCAAGUCUUGGUAAGGUUCUUCGCGUACCGUCGAAUUAAACCACACGCUCCACCGCUUGUGCGGGUCCCCGUCAAUUCCUUUGAGUUUUAAGCUUGCGCUCGUACUCCCCAGGCGGGAUGCUUAACGCGUUAGCUUCGCUACCGAGGGGGUCGAUACCUCCGACAGCUAGCAUCCAUCGUUUACAGCGUGGACUAC
rnacentral:misc_RNA from 1 species